CCUACGGGAGGCAGCAGUGGGGAAUAUUGGGCAAUGGGCGAAAGCCUGACCCAGCAACGCCGCGUGAAGGACGAAGGUGCCAAGCAUUGUAAACUUCUUUUGUCAAGGGACAAAAUCAGGCUCGAGAGCCUGACCGAGGGUACUUGAAGAAAAAGCAUCGGCUAACUCCGUGCCAGCAGCCGCGGUAAUACGGAGGAUGCGAGCGUUAUCCGGAUUUAUUGGGUUUAAAGGGUGCGUAGGCGGGCUGUUAAGUCAGCGGUAAAAGGCCGGGGCUAAACCCCGGCGAGCCGUUGAAACUGGCUGUCUUGAGAUGUCGAGAGGUAUGCGGAAUGCGCAGUGUAGCGGUGAAAUGCUUAGAUAUUGCGCAGAACUCCGAUUGCGAAGGCAGCAUACCGGCGGCGAUCUGACGCUGAGGCACGAAAGCGUGGGUAUCGAACAGGAUUAGAUACCCCUGUAGUC
rnacentral:rRNA from 1 species